CGCUGGCGGCAGGCUUAACACAUGCAAGUCGAACGGGCGUAGCAAUACGUCAGUGGCAGACGGGUGAGUAACACGUGGGAACGUACCCUUUGGUUCGGAUCAACACAGGGAAACUUGUGCUAAUACCGGAUAAGCCCUUACGGGGAAAGAUUUAUCGCCGAAGGAUCGGCCCGCGUCUGAUUAGCUUGUUGGUGAGGUAAUGGCUCACCAAGGCGACGAUCAGUAGCUGGUCUGAGAGGAUGAUCAGCCACACUGGGACUGAGACACGGCCCAGACUCCUACGGGAGGCAGCAGUGGGGAAUAUUGGACAAUGGGCGCAAGCCUGAUCCAGCCAUGCCGCGUGAGUGAUGAAGGCCCUAGGGUUGUAAAGCUCUUUUGGCGGGGAAGAUAAUGACGGUACCCGCAGAAUAAGCCCCGGCUAACUUCGUG
rnacentral:rRNA from 1 species